rnacentral:rRNA from 1 species
AGAGUUUGAUCAUGGCUCAGAUUGAACGCUGGCGGCAUGGCUAAAACAUGCAAGUCGAACGUGCCCGCAAGGGCAAGUGGCGAAAGGGUUAGUAAUACGAUCGAAUGUGCCCUGAGGUGGGGGAUAGCCGUGGGAAACUGCGGGUAAUACUCCAUGAUCUCCUCGGAGCAAAGAUUUGUCGCCUUGGGAGCAGCGAUCGUCCUAUCAGGUAGUUGGCGGGGUAACGGCCCACCAAGCCGAAGACGGGUAGCGGGUGUGAGAGCACGGCCCGCAACAUCGGAACUGAGACACUGUCCGGACUCCUACGGGAGGCUGCAGUAACGAAUCUUCCGCAAUGGGCGCAAGCCUGACGGAGCAAUGCCGCGUGUGGGAUGAAGCAUCUCUGGUGUGUAAACCACUGUCAGGGGGCGGAAACAAUGAUUGCCCCCAAAGGAAGUGGCGACUAACUCUGUGCCAGCAGUCGCGGUAAUACAGAGGCCACGAGCGUUAGUCGGAAUCACUGGGCUUAAAGGGUGCGUAGGCGGGCUUGUAAGCGUUUUGUGAAAGCCCCCGGCUCAACCGGGGAACAGCAGAGCGAACUGCGAGUCUUGAGGCAAGUAGGGGCGGGAAGAACAGUCGGUGGAGCGGUGAAAUGCUUAGAUAUCGACUGGAAUGCCGAUGGUGAAGACGUCCCGCUGGGCUUGUCCUGACGCUGAGGCACGAAAGCGUGGGGAGCAAACAGGAUUAGAUACCCUGGUAGUCCACGCCGUAAACGAUGUAUGCUGGACCGGUGCGAUUUUGACGUCGUAUCGGUCGUAGGAAAACCGUUAAGCAUACCGCCUGGGGAGUACGGUCGCAAGGCUAAAACUCAAAUGAAUUGACGGGGGCUCACACAAGCGGUGGAGCAUGUUGCUUAAUUCGAGGCAACGCGAAGAACCUUACCUGGGCUUGACAUGCUGGUAUUAACCCUAUG